UCGGAUAUGGUGUAACGGCUAACAUUGCCGCCUCUCACGAAAUGGUAGACCGCGCGGCAGCUCGGGGUUCGAUUCCCCGUAUCCGAA